UUUCCAGGAUGUUACUUCAGCAUGUCCACUGGAUACCUAGGUAUCCAGUAGGAUACUACGUAUCUGGAUAGAUCAAGGAUACUGAGAUGCUACGUAUCUCAGCAGAUCUGGUGGAGAAUUCCUUAAUUUACUGGAAAAGAAAGACUAAGCCAACAACUCUUUGGAAUCAGGCAGGGAAAAGAACAUCAUUUCAGACCAAUCGCGUUCCUAUGUGAGAGAACAAUCUGGAAAGUGUGGAUCUUGCCCAUGGUCUUCUUACUCCUCUGUGUGAUGAAAUGGAAGGCACUCACACUGGUCACAGUGGUCAUCUCAAGGAAAAGUACUUGUGCAUCUGAGUUGCAAGCUAAACUAGCAGCUCUUCUCCUGGAAUGCAUUUUUUUUUUUUUUUUUUUUUUUUUUUUUACAGAAAAGAAUGAACAAGUGUCAGAAAAGAAUGUUUAUUCAGACUUGGAUAUUUUAAAGACAUUUUAUCAAAAAUAAACUAAGUGAGCCUGCCACUUCAAAGAACACAACCGACAAAUUGUCGUCAAUAAUACUUGUCACGUUUCUAAGCAAAAAUCAGUUAGGAAGCUUCUGUCUACCAGCAUAAGCUUGACUUUUACCUAAUGUAUACUAUAAAACAUCCAGCCUCACACGGAUAUGUAGUGAGAAAAGGUGGAAGUAUUUUAAUAGCCUUUUAAGAUAAUUAGAUAGUUUAGAUAACUAAUAAUUUAGGAGAUAAUAAUUAUUCUCCUUUGAUACUGCACUAAAAACUGGCAUGUAGUAGUUUUUUAAAUAGUUGUUGGAAUGUGGAAUUUGAAGCCACAUAAGUGAUUUUUUUUUUUCUUUUUUGAGAUGGAGUCUCACUCUAUCUCCCAGGCUGAGUCUCACUCUAUCUCCCAGGCUGGAGUGCAGUGGCGCGAUCUUGGCUCAUUGCAACCUCUGCCUCCCAGGUUCAAGCCAUUCUCCUGCCUCAGCCUUCUGAGUAGCUGGGAUUACAGGCGUGUGCCACCACACCCAGCUAAUUUUUGUAUUUUUGGUAGAGAUGGGGUUUCACUAUGUUGGACAAACUGGUCUUGAACUCGUAACACCGCCCAGCGGUUGAUCUGCCUGCCUCGGCCUCCCAAAGUACUGGAAUUACAGGCGUGUGCCAUUGUGCCUGUCCAUAAGUGAUUUUUUUUCAUAUUUUAUUACAUUACUUCAUAUACUUCAACCAAACAACAUAUCACAACAUAUUGAAGGCAAAAGCAGAUACAAAAUUCGGUCAUUUUAUAUUAAAGCUGACUUUAAUUUAUAAAUUUAUAAAAGUAUAAAACAAUAUAUAUCUUCUCACUCAUUUUUAUUUUAAAAAUAGUUACUUUAUUAAAAUACGUUAUUUAUGUUAAUAUGUAAUAGGCUUAUAUUGUCAUAUUUGCAUGCAUUCAUAUAUAUUUUUAACUGUCUCAGUUUUAAUUGCUCAUACAGAACAUAAUUAGUAGAUAUAACCCAUACAAACAGAAGCUCUUUGGGGUCCUCAGUAGUUUUAAAGAGAGUAAAAGCAUUCUGUGAUCAAAAAGUUCAAAAACCAUUGCACUCUAACAAUCUUUGAGCUUGCAAAAAUUACCUCAAAAAGCCAUUUUCAGUAUGGAAUGAAUGGGUGUGAUGGCCCAGUUUCCAAUACCUACCGUCAUUUAGCCCCCAUUCCUUUUGAGCUAGUCCAGAGAGGUGUGGCUGGUAGGCAGAGAGUUGAGGCCUACAGAGCUCUGGUCAUUUAUCUAAAAUAUAGUUCUAACUCUAAAAUGGACAAAGGCUAAUAGCUGCACAUUUGUCCUAUAAGACAGAGCCCCAGUAUUAGGUGGUUGUGUGUAUCUCUUUUCCAUAGCAUCAACCCUGUAUCUCAGUGUAGGUAGCAUGUCAUCUUCUAGAAAGGUAACUUGAUACAGACCCAGGCUUGAAGAUAAGAGCGCCGGGUUCUCUUCUCAGACUCACCAUUAACCAGUCUUAUGACCUGAGCAGUCUCUCUCUCUGGACUUCAGUGUCCUUAUUCACAAAAGGCAGAUGUUUGGUAACAGGACCAUACGCUCUCUAAGAUAUUUUUCAACUUGGAAAUUCUAUGAAUCAAUUUGGAGAAAUAUUUGAAAGACAAUAAGAAUAACAGUUGACUUUUAUAUGGUAUUUUAUACUUGCUAAAUUACUUUUCCUUCCAAAUUCUUGGCUGGUGUUAAUUUCACGGCAAUUGAGAUUAAGGAUUCCAGAGGCGAUAGACUGGUAUUGAGUUCUGAUGUGUCACUAACCAGCUGUGUGGCCUUGAGUAGGUUAUUUAACCCAUCUACAGCUCAGAGAGUUGAUAAGGUGAUUAAAUGAGGUAAGGCAUGCACAGUAUUUAGAAUAGAUUCCGGCCUAUGUUACACACACAGUAACUAUUAUUAACACCUGAUUCAAUGUAUUGUAAUUGUAUGUUCACAUGUCUCUCUCCCCUCCUAGACUAUGAACUCCUUAUAGAUGAAGACCUCAUCCUGCUCAUCACUGCAUUCCUAGCAUAGUGCCUAGGUCAUAAUCAGUACUCAGUAAAUGCUCACUAAAUGGAAGAGUGGAUGACUUAUGUGAUAGUUUAAAUCAUUGUCCAGUAUAUAUUCAGUUCUCGAUACCUCCUUCUUUGGGCAGAGUUUAAUUUUCCAUGUUAUUUGGGUUGAUCCAUGAGAUUUCAGAGGGCUUAAAUGCACAUGUAUAGUUUGGCUUGAGUCUUGUGCUCUGAUGAUGAUAAUGGUGAUGAGGAUAAUCCAUGAGAAUUGUCAUCCAGAUAGCCAGUGCUUCUUUAGCAUGGGCCCCAGAAUGACAGAGACAGUGUAGCAGACAAUCAUGCUCUGAAGAACAGCCUUCUAGCCAGUACCACCCCUAAUCACAGACAGCUCUCCCAGGCAGUGCUGUAUUUCUUUCAUGGCAUCAUGUGAGAUUAAGCUGCCAGAAUUUUGCUGAUUUGGGGUGAACAGAAUUGUUUAUAUAUAGACAGGUCUCCACACGAAAUAUUCCUGUGUUGUCCAUACACUCCAAAAGCAGCCCUGCCAUGAGCCAAGGCCAUCCUAGACCACCUGAUAUUGACCUGAAGACUCAUGAAUACAAGAAUACAUGUCUGUUGCUAAAUGACUGAGAUUUGGGGAUGGUUUUAAAAAUGACAGUAAUGUGGCAAUCAUAGAUAGAUUGAUACAACUGUACAAUCUAUGAGGUAAUUGUUAUUGUUCUUCCCAUUUUAAAUGUGAGAAGAUUAACAAAGGGGAUAUCAUCUAGAAAGCACUUGUUCGCUAAUAAUAGAAAACAGCUCAAAUUGUUAUACAGGAUAAUAGAACCCAAAAAGGCAGAGGUAGUGCAAAGAGAGCUCCUGAUGAAGCUGAGCCAGUGGGUCCCCAGGGUCACCAGGAUCCCAUUUCUAUGUAUCUAUUCAUAUUGCCUUUUGCCAUGACAGUUUCUUCUUCGAGCUGCUAUGGGCUCAUCUGUGCAUAUUUGCACAGGCAGAGUUCCUAGAGCCUGUACCAUCUCUACAAGGUCCUCAAGACUCACUCUGAGCAGACCCUCUAGGGUCAACACCAGUCCUUAUCCAUUCCCAAUUCUACCCUGUGUAUGUGUGUUUUUAAUCAUCACUCACUUAUUUAACAAAUAUUUAUUGAGUGCCUUCUCUGUCAGGUACUUUUCUAUGUAGUGGGAAUACACUAUUGAAUGAGGCAGGAAUAGUCACUGUGCACGCGGGAGUUACAUACUCUAUAUUGUAUAUAAUAAUACAGACAAAUAGGCUAGGGAGAGAGGGAGCUAGAUAAUUAUAUAUACAGAAACCUAAUGAUGGCUAUCAUUUACCAAGACCAAAAGCAGGCAUUAUGCCAGAGGUUUUUAAUUCAAUCUUCAAAAUAAUGUUACAAGAUAAGACUUAUUGUUCACAUUUUUAUCAUUAACAAAAUGGUACACAGCAAAAAUGAGUAAUUUACUAGGCUCAAACAACAAGGCUAAAUUUAUAAUUUUUUGUUACUCAUCUGCCAUGCACAUUGCCUGUCAUACAUGAAAAAUCCUGUUCCUCUUUGGAUUAACUAUAAUUCCCAUACCAAAUGAUGUUAGAAUAAACUAUCCUUUAUUAAUUUUAUUAAUUUAGCUAAAUCCCUUAGAAUGCUUUGGCUAAAUACAAAGUGCUUAGAACCUCAUUUAUUAAUCAAUUUUUCAAAAAUAAAACAUUUUCUGUAUCUGUAGAUACUACAUGUAUAUCAUUGGUG
rnacentral:lncRNA from 10 species